AUUGAACGCUGGCGGCAGGCCUAACACAUGCAAGUCGAACGAGUGGCGGACGGGUGAGUAAUGUCUGGGAAACUGCCUGAUGGAGGGGGAUAACUACUGGAAACGGUAGCUAAUACCGCAUACCAUCGGAUGUUCCCAGAUGGGAUUAGCUAGUCGGUUGGGUAACGGCUCACCUAGGCGACGAUCCCUAGCUGGGCUGAGAGGAUGACCAGCAAGACGGGAACUGAGACACGGUGCAGACUCCUACGGGAGGCAGCAGUGGGGAAUAUUGCACAAUGGGCGAAAGCCUGAUGCAGCCAUGCCGCGUGGAUGAAGAAGGCCUUCGGGUUGUAAAGUACUUUCAGCGGGGAGGCGUUACCCGCAGAAGAAGCACCGGCUAACUCCGUGCCAGCAGCCGCGGUAAUAC
rnacentral:rRNA from 1 species